CCAGCGCUUUCUUCCUCUCAUCCUCUGCCUGGGUCCACUAUCAACUGGCUCUUCAGUUGCUCCCGUGUCGUCACCUCAUGCCUUUUCCUGCAUAAAAUGACACCUCGCUGUUACGUUAUCCAGGAAUUUUUAUUCCUUGGCUCCUGAGCAGCAGCGAAAACCACGAAGUCUAAGCCAAACUACUUCCCCAGUCCUGGAACUUUAGCAGUUUCUCGUCAGCCCAGCAGCCACCGCAGCUGGGUCCCAGCGUACCGCCACAGCCCCUAUUCCUGGUUAAAUGAAGUUCUAAGGUUGGAGCCCUAAUCCAAUAUGACUGAUGUCCUUAUAAGAGGAAAAGACACCAGAGAUACCUUUCUCUGCUCACGUGAACUCACAGAAAGAUCGUGUGAGGACAUAGCAAGAAGGCAGCUGCCUACAAGCCAGGAAGAGAGGUCUCACCAGGCACCAAACCCACCAGCACCUUAAUCUUGGACUUCUAGGCUCCAAA